CAGUAUUUUGUAUAUUUUUCAAUUAAUUAUUUUUUAAUAACUGACGAAGUCAUCUAUUUACGGUACACAUUCCUUCAGAAAUUAUUCCACUGUCAAGAAAAGUAAAGAAAUAUUUAUGGAAUCUCGGAAAAUUUGUAAUAGUCGUUAUUUCAUAAUUUACGAAUGACGUGAAUAUAAUGUGUCAUAGUUUAUCGGCAGAUAAACAUAUGCAAAGAGUAGCAGUCAUAUGUCAACUGUCAAAUAGCUUUUGUCAAUCGGUAAAUUGGGAUAGAAAUGAAGUAACGAUGACUGAUGAUACACUUUUGUUGAACGCUAGGAGGAGAUGUCUCUAUCCUUCACCUUGUAUCGCUUCGUUCGUGGAAAAAUCGAUCAGUCCCUCCACGUACCCACACACACACACACAGCCAGACAUUUUCUACCAAUACGAAGGGGUGGAUGAUGUAAUGACGGUGAUUGCGAGUGUCUCAGAGAAGAAACAACCGAUGAGUUGGAAACUUUGAUCACGAUAAAUGUUUCAAACCACGUGCUCAACUCAGGAUCGAGAACUAACUCGCAGAGCGGAUACUAUGGGAUACCUUAAAUCACGUCUGGCCAAUUUUCAGCAGCAGAUAUUUCACCAAAACUGCGGACUGAAGUAGAAAAGGCUCCUUUGAUCGCUGGAAAAUGCCGGGUAAAAGUCACACCCCUCGAGUUGGAGCUGUUGAAUUGAUUUUACCUCCUUAUUUUGAAGUAGCUGUUAUUCGCACCCUGUCGAGUCCUUGAUCUCAAAAACGCAUGGAGCAUGAUUGAGCAUCUAUUGUCAUCUCAGUCAAUAGGAGAAAUUGGAAAGGAGAAAUGGAAAAUAUUCGGGAGAACAGAUGGAGAAAAAUCAGACUUACAUUGAAAGAAAAAUAUAAUUCAUCCAAUCAAAUAUUUUUGUGACAAGAAUUUAAAUCGGAUUUUGAACGAAAAAUGUUCGAGCAUUCUAUCACUACAUUUAUUAUAAAGUUCUAGUACUUUAAAAAAUAUGGCAGAAUAGGUAAAGGGUAGUUUUUAUCUGAAAAAUUAGCAUCGAAGUUCUCGAGUCAGUCCAGAUUCCUGAUAAAACCUCGCAGCAUUUUUUUUUUUGAAUAGGAUAUUGAUAAGCAUGGCUUCAAUUACUCACAUAUAAUACCACAAGUGGUUCAAAAUUAUCGAAUAUUUCCCGAUAGAUUCGUUGCAAACAAAUGAAGGAGUCAAGUUUUUCAGGCUAAAAAAUCACGAGUGCGAAGCACGAGUGAUUUUUCCUGAAAAACUUGACGACUUCAUUUGUAUGCAGGGAACCUAGAGGGAAAUAUUCUAUAAUUUUGAAGCUCGAGUGGUAUUCAGGGGAUUAUUUUUCCUAUCCAAAUUUCGGCCAAGAGAAUUGUGCCAUGACAUGAAAAGAGGUUUAUUUGGUUAAGUGUCGUUUGUUUACCAAAAUAUUCAAAAAAUUAUCGCUGAUAUUCGAGGUAGGCUAUACAAAAUAUCAACAAAUGGUGCAAUUCUAUUGGCUGAAAUUUGGGUGGGAAAAAUAAUCACCCUAAUAUUCAAUAAUAAUUGUGGUUUGAUAAUCAAGGUAUACCUAAACGUUAAUUGCACCUUGUUACUGCUGUGAUAACGAGCGUCGUUAAUUGUCCCUAGUCAGACUCAUCCCUCCCGAAGGGUAUACACCUGCUUGGAGAGUUGAUGGACCAACUAUCAGCGGCCAUGGGAUCGAUGACGUGACAAAUUGACCUUUGAUCGUCUAAACCUGCAUAACCGAUCUCAGCUUAAUCAAACACAUCGUUAUCUGCAUAAUAACCAGCGAUAAACUAAAUAUAGAGAUUAUUCCACGAGUCUUAAACGGCCAGGCUAACGUUAUUUUUAAUGCACCAUUCGCGUGAAUGGUUAUUCGCAGGGUGAAUAGCCAAUUAAAUGAGAAUGAGGGAUAAGAAAUUUUUAAAAUGUAGGUAAUUGAAAAUGUUCCGUUAGGGAGGUGGGAGAUAAUUCAUUAUUGGUGGGAUCGAUAUUCAUUCACCGGCGGGUAACUUUCAACUAGCACGAUGGGAAAUCAUAUCGCUUUCAGGGGUAAAUGCGUUUUCAAACAUGAAACCCCAUCACGAGAAGCUGCAGCUGAACUUUCACGUGGAACAAUACUCACCGAUAUUUUGUAUUCCGAGAUGUUGAGGCUGUCACGCGAUCACGAAGGGCCUUCAACUGCUCGAAGGAGAUUAUCGGGGGAGGUCUUUCCCUCGGAAACUAAUUAACGUCCUUCCGAAUUGAAUUAAAAAUUUCAGGGAAUUUCCUCGAAGCGUAUCAUGCAGGCGAAAAAUUUUUGAAGUUCAAAUAUGAGUGAAGUCUAGUACAGUAAAUUUUCCCCCAAAUCCUUUCUCAUUUCCUCGCUUCGUUGCCCCGAAAUUACUGCGCAGGUGUCGAAAAUUUAAUACAUAUAGAGUCGUAAUUUUUUACGCCCACAAACGUACUUUUUGUUAAUAAAUUCACCCCGAGAUAUUCUUCCUAAAAAGUAGGAUUCAUUCCACAUUUGACGGUACAUUUGCCCGGUAAAAUCACAGCCUCCACAAAAAAUAAUUUAUUAGAAAACAUUUGGUCCCACUGGUGCCUCUCGGGUGAUAAAAUUUGCCACGAUUUUCAAGAUAAUUUUUCUCCAACUUUUCUCACCGCGGAAUACGUUUGUACAUAAAACUAGAUUUGGCCUGAGAUUUACGAUAUGGCUUGCAGAAAACCUCAAUCCUCUACUAUAUUCAGUGGAAUUCAACCGUUAUCAUAAUAUAGAAUGGCCAUAAUUCACCGACGAGGUCACAGGAAACUUUAAUUAUGCCAACAAAUUCCAUUAGACAAAAGUUCCUCCGCUAAGCGCCUCUAAGAUUUCUCCACUAAAAUUCUCUUUCAAUUUUAGUAAUGGAAUUUUUUUAUCUCCGCUCACUCACGUGUCCAUCGAUUUAACUUUAACUUUUCAAAUAUCUUAUUAUGGAAGAUUGAAAUGAAUUCGAGGUGUCGCAAACGAUUCGCAGCGAUAAUUCGGAUGAAGAGGAACAUUGAACUGUCAAAUGAGUUUCGAUGGAUGUGCAAGAUAAUUAAGUGAUAAUUGCCUCGCCGAAAAAUUUCUUUCCCUCCGAAGAGCAAAAUAAUUUUGUUCUCCCAUCGACUAAUUAUUUUUUCAAAUAAACAUUUGUUGUAUUCAUUUAAAAAUAUUUACUAUAGAAUUAUCCAUCUGGGAUGAGGAAUAAAAAUUAAUUGAUGGAAUGAAAAUUCUAAUAUUUUUCCUCUGAUUUAAUUUUGUCGCGUUCUUCAGAGAAGUGAGAAUUUAUCAGAUGUUAAAACAAACAAUCGAAGUUUUAGUUUGCGUUAGUGUUCUAGCGAUGGGCGGGAUCAAGCAGAUUAGUUUAUUCGAAUGAUCAACGCUCAAUGCGCGCAAAAGAUAUCGAGGAAAUCCUAGGGAUAUAGCUGGAGACUGAAAGUCUGAGCUGAAAGCUUUGGGCAAACAGAAGAUGAUUGAAUACUUUAUUGUUGGACAAAUAGUUCUCACGGAUUUUCAAGUUGUUUAUUCAGGCGUUUCCACUGAAAACCUUUCAGAAAUUUAUUUGAGACUAUUUUUGUAACGUUUGUUCAUUCCUCUUCACCUUUCAAAUGAAGCUGUUUCGAGGUCAAUGUGAACAGUGGAAGAAAUAAACCAAAAUAUAAAUUAUAAGCAAUUAACUUGUCUCUAAUUACCAUUGAGAAAUCGUUUUUUUAUGAUGGGAGUUUAAAUAGAAAUUAGUAUAAUUAUUUCCGUAUUCAAUGUUUACUGAUUCGUGAUUGCCGACGAAGAAGAAUAAUUGCCGGAACACGAUACGAUAUUUUAUCGUAAAUUAUGCGUAAUAAGUCGUAAAAUACGUUUAUAUUACGAUUGCAAUCGUAAUUUACGAUUUCUUAAACACGAACUACCCUCACUAAAACAUGGAAAACCCUUUGUUUGGAUGUAAUUUACGUUUUUCAGACGCCGUAAAAUACGUCUUCUGGAAGUCUCAAUUCCAAUUUCGAUAAUGAAAACAGAAUAGACAGUAUAUUGACAGUAAUCGUAAAAUGGAUUUACCAGGCCGUUAAUUACGCUUCGUAAUUACCGUAAGGUGUUUCUGGAUUUUGAAAAUUUGUAAUUAAAUAGUAAAAUCGUAGAACGUUAAAAUAUCAAAGUUUCUUUAAAUUGAAUUUAUCGUGAUCUGAUGGAAGUUUCUAAUUAAUGUACCCAAAACGGUGAUCAAAAAUUUUUACCAGUGAAUCAUGAUAGAAAUUUCUCCCCACAAUAUCCAUCCCCCCGGAAUGCACAAUAUUUUUUACGUCCUGUGUAGAAAUAUUUUCGUGAAAAAAAAAAUCUACCCGAGGUGAGAGUAAAUGGAUUAUAUAUAUCACCCAACACAUCCAAGAGGGGAGUGUAGAUAUGGUGAAAAAGGUCUCAAGGGUAGUGAAGCGUCCGAGCAAGCCGAGCAUCCCCUCGUGCACAAACACACAUUAGAUAUAUCGGUGGAUCCAUUCAUCCGGAAACUCACUUCGACUGUGAAACACUUAAUCCCUAUAGUAAUAUUCAAACAACAUGGGUUUUGACCCAUCGUGUGUGUGAGCCUUCAGAGUCAGUUCGAAUUAAGCAAUUGUCGUCAAGGGCUAGGGUAAACAGACCUACAGACCAUGUUGUAUAUUAAAAACUCAAGGGUCGAAUGUGUUUAAAUAUUUUUUAUUCGUGAAGGCACUCAAAUUGUUACAACUGAAAAUGGUAAGAAAGGGUGAGAUAUUAUUCAGAAAGGGGUAGAUGUUACUUGUGUAAUGCAGGGGGUAGUUUGGAACUGAACUGGAUGGGCUCAUGAAGAAAUGUCUAAUUACGUCCAAAGUAUUUGUCUAUUAACUCAGCUAUUUAAAUAAUAAGAGGAUGACCAGAUAUUUUUUGAAGAUUAUUAAUAAAGAGGAAUUUGUGGGUUUUCUAUUCCGUAUGGACAAUGAAGAAUAAAUGUUAAAAUGUAGUGGGUAUGCAACAAUUGCCAAAAGACUAAACGAUAUGAUAAAAUUGAUUAUUAAUUUUAAAAAGUGAAAAAUC